rnacentral:ribozyme from 14 species
AAAAAAAAUAGGGAUUUUUGCAUAAUAAUAUGUACACACUUUUCCUCGCUCAAUAAAUUUUCUUUUUUUUUUAUUCAUUUUCAUGUUACAAAACAG